rnacentral:misc_RNA from 1 species
GUCGUAAACAAGUACCGUACCGAAGGUGCGGCUGGAUCACCUCCUUUCUAAGGAGCUAUCUGGCUGGUGCCCCUGUAGUGGGUGGUUGCCUGGUCCAGGGCGAUGGUCAAGUCGAGUGGCUGGUCUGGAUGCUCAUGGGUGGAACGCUGACUUGUUCUGCUGGCUGCUGGUUCGGAUUCUGGGUUCCUGUGUGGGCUUGGGGUUGGGGCCGGGGUUGGUGGGUCGGUACGCUGUUGGGUCCUGAGGGAGUUAGGUGCCCUCGUGUGUGGCCCUGCUUUUGUUCGACGUGCCUCGGUGGCCUUCGGGUUGUCGGGGUUGUUGGGCGGGGUGGGUGUGCGGGCUGGUUGUGGUGGGAUACCGCUGUCGCCUUUUGGGUGAUGGGUUUGGUCUCACGGGCGCGGCUGGUUUCCGUUCGUAGUUUGAGAACUGCAGCAGUGGACGCGAGAAUCUGAUCUUUGUGGCCAACUAUAAGGCGCCC